rnacentral:tRNA from 1 species
GCCUGGGUGGCUCAGCUGGUUAAGUGUCUGACUUCGGCUCAGGUCACGAUCUCAUGGUUUGUGGGUUCAAGCCCUGCAUCGGGCU